rnacentral:rRNA from 1 species
UACAGAGGGUGCUAGCGUUGUUCGGAAUCAUUGGGCGUAAAGGGCGUGUAGGCGGUUUGUUCAGUCAUGUGUGAAAUCCCUCGGCUCAACCGGGGAACGACGCAUGAAACUGGCAAGCUAGAGUACCAAAGAGGGGGGUGGAAUUCCCGGUGUAGCGGUGAAAUGCGUAGAUAUCUGGAGGAACACCGGUGGCGAAGGCGGCAUCCUGGACCAAUUCUGACGCUGAGGAGCGAAAGCUAGGGGAGCAAACGGG